rnacentral:rRNA from 1 species
UACGUAGGGCGCAAGCGUUGUCCGGAAUUAUUGGGCGUAAAGAGCUCGUAGGCGGCCUGUUACGUCUGCUGUGAAAUCCCGGGGCUUAACCCCGGAAUUGCCUUUGAGACUGCAUCGCUAGAAUUGUGGAGAGGUAAGUGGAAUUCCGAGUGUAGAGGUGAAAUUCGUAGAUAUUCGGAAGAACACCAGUGGCGAAGGCGACUGACGGGACAAAUAUUGACGCUGAGGUGCGAAAGCGUGGGGAGCAAACAGG